UACGUAGGGCGCAAGCGUUAUCCGGAAUUAUUGGGCGUAAAGAGCUCGUAGGCGGUUUGUCGCGUCUGCCGUGAAAGUCCGGGGCUCAACUCCGGAUCUGCGGUGGGUACGGGCAGACUAGAGUGAUGUAGGGGAGACUGGAAUUCCUGGUGUAGCGGUGAAAUGCGAAGAUAUCAGGAGGAAAACCGAAGGGCGAGGCAGGUCUCUGGGUAUUAACUGACGCUGAGGAGCGAAAGCAUGGGGAGCGAACAGG
rnacentral:rRNA from 1 species